rnacentral:rRNA from 1 species
UACGUAGGGUGCAAGCGUUGUCCGGAAUUAUUGGGCGUAAAGAGCUCGUAGGCGGUCUGUCGCGUCGGCUGUGAAAACUCGGGGCUCAACUCCGAGCUUGCAGUCGAUACGGGCAGGCUAGAGUUCGGCAGGGGAGACUGGAAUUCCUGGUGUAGCGGUGAAAUGCGCAGAUAUCAGGAGGAACACCGGUGGCGAAGGCGGGUCUCUGGGCCGAUACUGACGCUGAGGAGCGAAAGCUAGGGGAGCAAACAGG